AUUCUGGCCGGUAUUCCCGGCCCCUGACCCUCCCCAGCCCAGGGGCUGGGCUGCCCUUCCCCAGCUGCCCUUCCCUAUAUAAUCCAGCUGCCCUCUCCUGUCUGCACCUCUGUGCCCGGCUUUCCCCUCGCUCCCCUCUCCCUUCCCCUCCUCCCUCUCCUCACCUGUCCCUGCCUCUGACUUAGCUCUCCCUUUUAUCUACCUGGGAGCAGUCAUGUCCUUUCCUUUUUUAUUUCUUUUUUUUUUCAUUCAGAUGCGUUUGAUUAUUAUUUCUAAGUAACUGAUUCAUCACUGGAGCAGAGCCGACACUUGGACUGACAGUGAGCCGUAGCUGGGGAAAGGGGAACCAUCACUGCUUCACCGUGUCCUGAGUGAGCGCUGCGAGCAUGGUCCAAAGAAGAAUGUGCUCAGGGAAAAUGGAAUUUUGCUUAAGUCCUUGGCGAGUAAACUCAAUUACUGUCUACUUAUUUCUUUGAAAGAAGGAAACUUUGUUGUUCACUUAGCCCAGGACUGCUUUGGCAUCUGGAUGGUGCACAUCAGAAAUCAGAAGACUUUGGACGAGGUGGCCAGCAAGAUCAUGUGUGGGACAGCAUAAGCUAUGCAACUAUCAGACUUCUUCAACCUAGUGGGUAGCCAGGAGGAGCACUGUAUCAGUCAGGGUUCUCUAGAAAUAUGGAACUGAUGGAGUGAAAAUAGUUAUAGCCACGACAGGCACGCAAGUGGACGUGAUGUUGCAAAGCCAGCAAGAAAAGGACAUGGACUCGGAAGAAAAUUACAGCCAGCAGACUAGGUUGUAAGCAGAUGCUGGCUUUUCUUCUGGGUAAUUCGUGGCUUUACAGUCAAAUCAGCAGGAGCUCAAACUAUAAAUUAGAAGAACAGAGUU